UCAGUAAAGUACGCAUAAUUAAUAUUUUCUAUCGGACCUCGUUUUGUAUGACAACCACUGGUUAAUUCCACUACCUUCAAAUGAAUGGUACGCUAACAAGUCUUACCGUUAAAUCUUAAGGUCAUUCCAAACAUCCACGUAGCAAAUUUGUCAACAUGUCAUGAUGAUGGGUUACUUUUGGCUUCAAGGAGCUUUAACCUGUUUAGUACUAUUGACUGUUACCGGCGCUUUGUGGAAUCUUCCAAUUGUCAGAGCUGAAACGUGCAAUCCCAGUAUAAAAAUUAGACCCAAUGUCAGCAUCUCUUCAAGUUCAGGAAACAGCUGCUACCCAUUGGUGCCGACAUAACCCUGACUUGUACAGCACAGCCCAGAAAGACAGACGAAGUAUAUCUGGAUAGAUGAGUCGAUUAUAUCGAGUGGUACGAUCCACAGGGUAGACGCGUUGGAGCUAAAUGCAAACAGCCCUCAAACGUACAUGCUCAUAAACGUAAAUUAAGCUGUCCAUUGUUGCUUAAAAAUUUGACAGUUGACCAAUUUGACAGCUACACAUGCCAAGCUGGAAAUGGUUACGCAAAACACUGCACAAGGGAAUCAAUACCGAUAGGUAAGCAGCCUUAUCAU